rnacentral:lncRNA from 1 species
AACUUUGCAAUAUUUUGACCCCACUAAAUAAUAAUCAUGACUUCAUCACUGUCUUCCCCUAAACUACUAGAGAAGAUUAAACGGCUUGAUUUAAUUGCAGUGAAUUACUUGACUAAUGAAAUAUGAAGGGAGUGAUUAGCAAAUGGCAAUUAUAGCAAAAAGAUAAAUUUCAAAAAUUAAAAUACAAGGAAUUAAAGUACGAUGAUGGUUAUAUUUGCAGGGACCAAAACAUAAUUUUUGGGUUGUUUCUUA